GAUGAACGCUGGCGGCGUGCCUAAUACAUGCAAGUCGAGCGAACAGACGAGGAGCUUGCUCCUCUGACGUUAGCGGCGGACGGGUGAGUAACACGUGGAUAACCUACCUAUAAGACUGGGAUAACUUCGGGAAACCGGAGCUAAUACCGGAUAAUAUAUUGAACCGCAUGGUUCAUUAGUGAAAGACGGUUUUGCUGUAACUUAUAGAUGGAUCCGCGCCGCAUUAGCUAGUUGGUAAGGUAACGGCUUACCAAGGCGACGAUGCGUAGCCGACCUGAGAGGGUGAUCGGCCACACUGGAACUGAGACACGGUCCAGACUCCUACGGGAGGCAGCAGUAGGGAAUCUUCCGCAAUGGGCGAAAGCCUGACGGAGCAACGCCGCGUGAGUGAUGAAGGUCUUCGGAUCGUAAAACUCUGUUACUAGGGAAGAACAAAUGUGUAAGUAACUAUGCACGUCUUGACGGUACCUAAUCAGAAAGCCACGGCUAACUACGUG
rnacentral:rRNA from 1 species